AAUCCUUCCACUUCUGGAAUUGAAAUUUUCUGAAUAACUGAAGAAAAAAUGUAAGCCUUUUUCUUCAGCUGAGAGGAUUGAACUGUACCUCCUAAAAAUCAGUGGAAUUUCUUCUGAAGGCGACGAAGACCGAAACAAAAUAUGCGAUCGAUUGGUUGAAGUUGUAUUGGAGCUGAUGGCACGUCGUAGAACGCCCAGGCAGAUUCUCUCCUGGCUACAGAAUCAUGAGUGAACGUUUUUGAUGCGCUGUGUACACCGUAAUCGGGAUAAACGGCGAUUACGUAAUCGUUGCGAUGCGGAAGACCUGCGCUGUCUUCCACACACGUACCUACAUGCUCGACGUUUCUUCUUCUUCUCUCCUGCUGGAUACCUGGAGAUGAUCCUUUGAUCGACAGCUCUGCUCCCUGAUGUAAUUUUUUGGAACAGGAGUAAGGGUUGUCUGAAUUCUGAAGAUUGACCUGGAUUUGUGUUUUAGGAAUUCCAAGUGGUUCAAAAUAAUAUAUAUGAGACAAGAGGAUUCAUAAGCAUGGAUGAUUGAAAACUGAAUUGAUGCAAUAAAAUAUCAUUUACCACUAUGAUCAUCUUGCAAAAUAGCUGUUUAGAUCAGUGAGGCUUGGCAGUUUCAAUAAAGAAGUUAAAAAUAAAAAAGCAGUCAUAGGUUGAAAUAGAUCAUUAUUGUUCUAUUCAGAGGAAAGAAUAUUUCUUCUUUAAUAAGAAAUUCUGAAGAGAAGAAUGCAUGAUACUGAAGAAUUCGAGAUUCUCUGAGAUGAUGGAUGCUUCACGAUGAUUUUUCACCACAAAUUCAGAGCAUUACCAACUUAUUCUCGUCAUUAUCCGCGUUCCUCCGCAACGACUAACGUCUUUCGUGUCGAACCACCGUGCAAGAUGCACGUAUGUACGUUCAGUCGAACGCAUUACCGAUUACGCCAUCAUUCUACGAAACCUUUUUCGCAACUUUAUCCCAUCGGUGCUCACCCUCGCAAUAAAGCACGUUUGAAUUCUAAACUAAGCUAUCGAUACAUUAAGGAACACGCUCUUAGUUGAUUGCAAUUUAAAAAUAAUAUAUGAAGGAGAUGGUCUUAGAAGCAUUAAUGUAAUGCAUGUAAUAUAAAUAUUAUUAGGUCAUUAAGUUAAUCGGUGAAAGAUAAGACUUUAUAGUCCAAGAUAAGUUAACUAAAUGAAUGUUGAAUCAAACCAUGAAGUCCCAAUGGUUAUUUUAAUCAUUUCUUCAUAAUCUUAAAUUUUCAAUCAGCUAAUGCUCUAUUAAGAAGUAAGAAGCUUCACUGUACUCUAUGAAAUUCUAAUUAUAAAUGAAAAUUAUUGUAGCGUUCCAUUGAAAUUUAAGUAAACCACUGUGUCUCUUACAGAUCCUGCAGUCCUACAGGAUCCAAUUCUGUCAUCAAUCUACCACGUUCAUCCUGGAAUCAGGGAUAUACGUAACACGUCUCGCGGAUCCUUCUCGACUGACCGUUCUCCAUCAGUUUAAACGAAGUCAAGGAAAUUAUCUAUAAAUGGAGCGGCAUCGCAGGGCUCGCAGAAAGCACUUUCAAAACUGUUGUAGCAUCGAUUAAACCGGCAACUCAUCUUUCAUGUCGGGUAAUCUUAGACCACUAGGCAGACGCAUCAUAUAUUGAUUACGUCAGGUUGUUUUCGUAAGGCAUUCCCUGUUGACAGAAGGGACUAAAGGAAUGGUAUCUGUCCUUCCUACUUGCUCGUCCGUUCACCAUGGUAUAUUCUAUGACACAAGGUAGCUGUUCAACCAUUGAAAUUAGAAGAAGAAAUUGAAUAAAAAGGAAAUUCUUGAAUACAUAAACGAGAUGGUGAUCUGUCAAGUACACUUGACAAUUUUUAUGCCUGCUAAAGCUUCGUCUGGAACGUAAUUCAGAUGUUACAGUAUCAGAGAAAGUGUCCCCUCGAGCUGGAAACUGGGCUUCCUGGUGGCAUAACGUAACACAACAUACUUGAAAACUAAGCCUCCAUCACAAGCUGCGACAUGUUUGAAAUUUAUUAUUUAUCUUCGCCAAGUACAUAGAAUUUUUCACGCCUAGAUUCAUCCUUCCCACUCGAUGCAUCAACCUGAUACCCGCUCCAUUAAUGAUCGAUUUCACCAGCUAUGGGAAAAUUCAUAAUUAUACAGCUUGUCACGAUAAAGUACUGUUAUUUAUGUAAUGAACGAACCUCUGGGAUACACGCGGAGGCAUUUCUGUUUCCUGCAUUGAUCCCAUCUAUUAUUUCGAAUUCAAGCAGAAACGAACCUUCUAUUAAUCUUUGUUACCAAUAGUUAGGAUUAUAUUGUGGAAAAAAUCACAAGACACAGGAUAAGUUGCUGUGCCUUCAUAUCUCACAUCUGCAUGGAAACCUGUCCUCCAGUCAGCAGUGUAAGUCACUAUUUGCGUCCUACCAUCAGGCAGUUGGACUCUGUAUUCUCCACGCACAGUUUCACCAUCACUGGUCUCACGUCUGCCAAAAUCAUUACCUGUUGCCUGGUCCUUCACUGCGUAACCAAAUUCAUAGGACAUUGGCUGAAACAAUUUGUACAGAAGAAGGAUGCAGGAGAGUCUGAAAUGGAGGGGUCAUAAUUACUUAAGGAAGAAUGUUAAACGAUCCAGGUGCUCUCCUGGCAGAGCUUAUAAGAAGAAGAAAUGAAGAGAUGGCGUUAUGCGAUUGAACUUUCUUCCACAAAGAAGUGGAGCAGAUGGAGGCUGUGAUUUAAUCUAGCUCGCGCUAGAAUCAUUUAUAACCAGAAUGAUGGGACCAAGGUGUUCUCCUUGGUUAAAUGAAUUUAUUUAAGCAGAAAGAAGAUGAAGAUUCAGUCUAGCUUCACCAUUAACUUUGCAACAUUGUAGGUGAGAUUGUCUUAAUCUGGGAAUAUUUAUUUACAAAUAUACUUCCAGAAUCAUUUAUAACCAGAACGAUAGGACCAAGGUAUUCUCCUUGGUUAAAUGAAUUCAUUUGUAAAUAAAUAUUCUCAGAUGAAUUCAUUUCACCAUCAACUUUGCAACAUUGUAAGCGAGCACGUUAAUGUAAUUUCAUCGUAGUUGCAGCAUCAAAGGAGUGGUUAUUGUUACCUGUCGCAACCACCUUAGGGUAGUUAUGAAGUGUUCAACAGAUUUCCAUCUUCAACACCUUCGGUUAUAUAAUAAAUCUUCUAGAGAACAGCCGAGGUACUUUACUUUCAAAAUAUUUCAGACUUGUCAGUCUAAAAGUCAUUGGGAGAUGUAGAAAAAGAAAAGAAGAGAUGGAAUUAACAGGAAAGUGAAGAAAGGAAGUUCUAGAUCGGCCAUGCCUCGCUCGACAAAGUUCAAUGUUACUUGUACAAUCGGCGUUAACCCAGAUCUAUUCGUUUGCCUCAACCUUUGCCUCUGCUAUGAAAGAUCACGACGGAAAUGCGAGUAGAAUGAAUCAAUGGGCAUGAUCUUGAAACUGUCCAAAGAUCAAUUGAAUUAAUCAACAUUCAUAGGAUACGUAUUUUGUUAAAUUAAUUUUAAGGUUUCUCUGCUCAUUUAAAGCUCGUUUCCAAAACAAAUUUUCCAGAGUUAUGAUGCAUCGUUAGGAGAGAACGCAUCCGUAAUUCAGUUUCUAUUGCGACAGUGAAUUGUUCGUGGCACUCAAACGGCAAUUAAGUUUAAGCAAUCGUGAUCGUUAAACGCACAAAAGAAGCAGCCUCGAAUGGCAGAAAUACCAGCGAUUUAUUUCAGAUCGUUUACCUGGUCGACGUAAUCAUUGUCACCUCCGUUGUCAUAAUGAUGAUUGCCAAAGUCAUUUGUACCAGUUGAACCAUGAUUAUUGUUGUCGUUGUUGUUAUUGUUGUUGUUAUUGCUGCCAGCAUAAUUUCCUGGGACACCAUACUGAGUGUUCAAUGGGGGAUCACAUUGCACGAUUCCUAUGGUCACCAUUACAGCGAGCACUAACUGUAAAUUAAAAUUUCUUUGUACUGUUCAAGUUCAAUAAUCCCACUGAGAUUUAUAAGAAUUUAAAGGAAGAGGAUCUUUGAAGCGGAGCCAGCUGAUGUUCCCUUGCUGAUGAGUGUAAUGGUAUCAGAAUGAAACGGUAAUUUAAGAUCAGAUGGAUUCCCAAGCAUGCGAGUGGAAGCGCGAGAUGAUCAAGCAGCUCUCGUUGCGUAGGCGAGAAAUUAGAGCCGGUGUUUUCCUCCUGAUUUCUGUCGUGAGAAAGCGUCGAGCGUUGCGUCAUCGUCCACGUUCAAAAUCAGCACAGAAGAAUCUUUCCAUUUUCAAGGAAUCCGAUGAUUCAAGUAAUCGUUAAGCAAUUUCCUCUUGGAAGGAUUUCGUUUAAAACUGUUGCAAGAUUUGUACAACGUAAACGAAAGUGGAGAUUUAGAGAUGAAGUAAAAGCACAUUUGAAAUUAAGAAAUCAAGAUUGACAAUAACGUAUGCAAGGAAGGGUGCUAUUGUUUAUCUUAUACCAUGAGAGAUUCUAGUCUCUAAUUAUGAGAGUUGAUUGCUCGUAAUUUAUUCAGACCAGGAGUGAAGUUGUUAAUACUAAUUAAUUUUUCAUAUUACUCUGUUAAUAUUUGGAAAAAUUGAAAUGAGAGAUUUAAAAAAAGAAGUCACCAUAAAAACGAAGAGAUGCCCUGAAGAUAACGUCAAGAUUUUCGUAACAAUUUACUCCGAAGCGUGCAUGAUGUCAUUUAACGCGACGUUAGAAUAGUUUCACGUAGCAACUUGCGAAAUGUUUAUGUUAUUAUUUAUAUUCUCGUGUAAAGCAUACGUGCCUGGGCCGCAUUAACGGAGAUGAUUACACAGGACCAAGUGUACUUACAUAAUGAAAUGCAACAACCUACUGUGUAUCUACAAAAUGAGCUGUGCAAUAUCUAACUGCGCCUGGAAGUUGAAACGUGUGCACUUCAUCUAUUGAAGGAUAGUGAUUGUGCAGUUAAUCUACCAUUCCAGGAGAAACGUUAAUAAUUUUCUUCUAUUUUACAGCUUCUGAAGCGGUUGUAAAUUGACAACCAAUGUUAAGAACAUAGACAAUGAUGUGAAAGAAAUCAUUAGUGCUAAGGAAUUUCAGAUUUGAGCAAACAAGAAGCAUUUUAUAAUUUACAAUUUAUAAGUGCAAUCUCGUGUAUCAGCUAAUAUUAGUUUCACAUGCAAUGUACCAAUCUGAGGUUUGAAUAACGACCCAGAAACAUUAUUGAUUGAUCUCGUCAAUUCUUAUUAAUGGAGGUAAGUGUUAAUACUUCAAACUGGAUUUGAAACACUCCAUCAUCUUCUGUAUCCUUAAAGAUACAAUUAGAGGAUCUUCAAAAGAAAAUUAUCUGGGUCACCCGAAAUCACUGCUCACAGAUAAACAAAUGAACCGAAUCACGUGUCAGGAAUCAUGGUGAAGGAUAAUAGCGCCAGCACCGAUGGUAGAGCUUUCAACGAACACUUAUCAGACUCCUGAUUACCUGUCGCACCACUCUAUCCAUACUCAAGAAGACUCAGAAACCGGAGCACCGUGUGUAAAGUUGAAUUAUGGUGACGUUUUGCUGCCUAGCUGGCUUAUAUAGAGAGCCCGUGUAACGCCUACAAAGAUUCAUUUCCUGUCGGCCACGGAUCCAGCUGGAGGAGUGGAUCCGUGUGGAUCCAUGUAUAAAACUGGGGGGGUUACCCCUUAUACUCUAGUUCACAUAGGUACGCGAGACGUGUGGAAAGCCCGCGCUUUAUUUCCCAUUGUUCUGCCCGAGGCAUGUGCGAUUUUGGGGCGGCGCGUGUAUGAGAGGAACGCCGAGCGUCUUCUAGAGCGGAGAAAGCUGAUUACCUCAUCGCGUGGGACAGCCUGCCGGCGAAUCUGGCUGAAGACUCUUGCUGCUCGAACCUCUUAAUUAGCCAAUAAGGGGCUUAAUUAACACCAAGGACCAUUGUCCAUCUCUUGAUUCAUUGGAGGAUUUUGCAACCAUCCUUUAGGUUUCCUCCGUCUCCCCUGACCUCUUGGGCUGCUCUUGGACAAGCUGGAAAUUUAAUUGUACAACUAACCUAUGUUUGGUAAAUUGAAGGCAUUGCGCAGUCUGGAAUGGAAUACAGCACUCUUGAUUGUGUGAUGAUCAGAGACAAAGAUAUGAUUAUGAUCUUAAUGACUGAGAGAUUAAAGCAAAUGUACUUCCUUGGGAUCUUUUAAAUAAUUUGGAAACAAAUUUAUGCUGAUUUAGACACCUGGCAUGAUAUACGUGUGUUUAAUUGAUGGCAAUUCAUUGAAAUUUGUAUCCAUCCCGCUGGAGGGUGUACUACAUCCUAAAACACAAUCGUAGUUGCAUAAUAGGAAUGAAAGAUCCAUUCGUUUCGUCGGCGUCAGACCGCAACGCAUCAAGGAUCUUCCAUCUCAACACGAGUUUGUUGGCAUGUAACGAGCAACGACGCGUGACAAGAAACGGCACGAGCUGAGCACAAUGUGUAACGCAAAUGAAUGCUGAAUCCGACGAGAUUGGCACGCGGACCGAUUUAGAAAGUACAUUUGAACGGCGUUAAAAUUGCUUUUCGACUUGGUCAUUCUUCUUAACCACCGUUGUUAUAUUAUUACGGAUAAUCUUGUUUCGCAAUCGGUGCCAUCUCAGAGUUGUUCAGCUUCAUUCAGAAGAUAUAUAAUUUUAACAUAAUUGAAACUGGGAAGCUCUGAUCAAUUAAACGAUCAACCAUUAAGAUGACUGAGAACCGUUCUUGGUGUCCUAGGACUUGUACCUAGUUAGGAGGUGCAACGAGAUGAAUAAUUGCUGAUCUGGUUUAGGACAAUGGCCACUAUCAGAACGGUCGAUCUAAUCUCUUUGAUCAAUUAGUUAAAAUGAAAACCUAAUCAAGAGGGGCUUUAUUGUUUAUUUAGUGUGCGAAUUCUCACUUUCGAUUCCUUUCGUAACCUUUCCCUGAUUGUUCACCGUUACGUGAACGGAAACCAUUGCGUUACGAUAAGCACAUGGCUCCACCGUUGGACGUUUAACAAUGAUGCCGUCGGUUUUCGGUAGUUUGCUCCCUAUUGUUCGGCCAAAAAUUCAUUUCGCAACGGGCCAACUUAUCUUAACGUACAGUUUAAAAAUACAGAAACAAACGAGACACGGAUUUAUGGUUCUAAGUAGAUCAUUUUGUAUUUUUCUCAACAUCUAUUAUAAUAAUCUUGAUCUUAAUUUAUUUCCCCCAAGGGGUUACAAUAGCUUUCCCCUUGAGGGUGUCGCAUAAUAAUUAAAUACUGAAUUACUUUUUCAAUAUAUUCCAGAUGAAGCGUUGCUCGACGUUGGAUUGGAAGAAGGUCGACCUACAAAGUGAAGAAGAAAAUUGAAAUCAGCAUAAAAUGUAAAGAAGAGAAAAUCAAACAAUGCUUCUAGAUCUCGGUACAGUUUCUUCGUGAUAAUUGAAAGGAUCUUCGCAAUAACCUCUCUUUAUAAUCUCUCCCCUGCUCGCAGGCGUGCUAGCAUGAUAGACAAGGUCGUUACGUGUUCAAAGGAUGCUCUAAAUUCGUCCCAAUUCUUAUUGCGCAAGCAUCCUACGGAUGAUUUUGUACUUGUCUGCUUUGAUGUAUUUAGAUUUGUUGUGAAAUUUCAUGGGAAUAAUGAAUCGAGCCAGGGAAGAUCAGGCGUCUAAUAAAAAACUUCAUUAUUUCAUCAUCUUUGGCAGACUCUUCGAUCAGCCAUCAGUAUCGAAGGUGAAUCAAGGAUAUGGUUUUUAACGUGAGAUUAAUGAAACAUCAUUUUGGAUCAUUAUUGUGGAUGAUUAAACUGAAUUGGAUCUCUGGGAACUGAUGCUAGAAAAAACACCUCAUUCAAAUACAGAUUGAAUGGUUUAACGUUUGAACUGAUGGAUUUUAGAAAUAAGCAGGGGUAAUUAUUUAAAAAAUCACUGUUCUACUUUCAGAUCAUAGUUACGUAAAGGGAGAUCGAAUCGUAUUGAAGAAAUUUUCAGAAAGAAAUCUUCAAAGGAAAGAAGAGAUAUAUUAAUUUUUAUAUUAAUUGUAGAAGAGAUGGAUUUCACAAGCAAGCAGAGUAGUAUUUAAAUAAUAUUUAAUGCAUGAAUUCUUUCAUAAUAUUCAGGAAGUUUACGCGCGAGAUUGCUCUGCCUCUUUUCUUCGAGGAAUUGUCAAUAAUGGACGUUACGAAAGUAGGCUGCGCGAAUAAUGAAGGACAGCCAGUGCGAAAAGAAACAAUAUAAUGUCAAUAUCAAGUCCGCUGUAACCUGUGAUUAAUCUUUUAAUUUGUAGUAUUAGGUGUACAAAUUAAUUCGGUACUUUUAUUAUUAUACUUUCCUAGUUACUAUUUUAAAUUCGAAUAUUUUUCCGCGCUUUUGUGAAUUUGAAAAAUGGCGCGAGAAUAUGAUAUAACCCCUUGAAAAUAAGCCAUUAAUUAAAAAAAGAAAAGGCACCGAAUUAAUUUAUAACUAAUAACUUACAUUGUUGUGCAUUGACAUACAGUUUUAUGCUUGGCAUUAUUUUUCAUUUAAAUGAACUAUAAUAAUAACAAUAAAUAUUAUUAUAUUUCUGAAUUAUAGUU